GGGCCUGUGGCUCAAAAGGGUAGGGCGCCAGCCCCAUAUGCCGGAGGUGGCAGGCUCUAACCCAGCCCCGGCCCA
rfam:Otolemur garnettii contig091729, whole genome shotgun sequence.